rnacentral:tRNA from 1 species
UAACAAGGAGACCUACUGUGAAAGUAACACCCACAACAACAACUUUCUCAGACAAGGCAGGUCGGUCGAGGAAUUUAUGAGGCUUUCAAACUAUCAAUUGGUUCGGAUAAGGGCCAAUAACCUCAGGGGGUUAAACCGAACCCUGGAUAAGGGGAAGGCCCUGGGUCCAGGUCCAGGAGGGCCCACCUACCCCCAAAAACUGGGGGUAUAGCUCAGUUGGUAGAGCGCUGCCUUUGCAAGGCAGAUGUCAGCGGUUCGAGUCCGCUUACCUCCACCAAAAAA